rnacentral:rRNA from 1 species
CCUACGGGUGGCAGCAGUAGGGAAUUUUUCACAAUGGGCGAAAGCCUGAUGGAGCAACGCCGCGUGCAGGAUGAAGGCCCUCGGGUUGUAAACUGCUUUUAUAAGCGAGAAAUAUGAUGGUAACUUAUGAAUAAGGAUCGGCUAACGACGUGCCAGCAGCCGCGGUCAUACGUAGGAUCCGAGCAUUAUCCGGAGUGACUGGGUGUAAAGAGUUGCGUAUGUGGCAUAAUAAGUAGCUAGGGAAAUAUGGUGGCUCAAACAUUCAGACUAUUAGCUAAACUGUUAAGCUCGAGACCGUUAGGGGCAUCUGGAAUUUCUAGUGUAGGGGUGAAAUGCAUAGAUAUUAGAAGGAACACCAAUAGCGUAGGCAGGAUGCUGGGACGGUUCUGACACUAAGGCACGAAAGCGUAGGGAGCAAACGGGAUUAGAUACCCCAGUAGUC